CAGGACGAACGCUGGCGGUGUGCUUAACACAUGCAAGUGGUGCGACGAACCAGAGCUUGCUCUGGGGCAAAGCCGCGAACGGGUGAGUAACACGUGGGUAAUCUACCCCGAUGACCGGGACAACCCGAGGAAACUCGGGCUAAUACCGGAUGUGGUACGGAGACAUAAGUCUCUUUACUAAAGGUAGCUUCGGCUUCCGCAUUGGGAGGGGCCCGCGGCCCAUUAGCUAGUUGUGGGGUCAAGGCCUACCAAGGCAACGAUGGGUAGCUGGUCUGAGAGGACGAUCAGCCACACUGGGACUGAGACACGGCCCAGACUCCUACGGGAGGCAGCAGUGGGGAAUCUUGCGCAAUGCGCGAAAGCGUGACGCAGCAACACCGCGUGAGGGAAGACGGCCUUAGGGUUGUAAACCUCUUUCAGAUGGGACGAAGGUGAUGCGGUGAAUAGCCGAUGUCAUUGACGGUACCGUCAGAAGAAGCUCCGGCUAACUACGUG
rnacentral:rRNA from 1 species